AGUAGUCUUCUUGGGACAUUACAUAUUUGUUCAAACAGUGAUCCCACAUUUGCACUGAACAUUUUUCUUUUUUGUAUUUGUUACCAGGGCCAAUUAGUAAUCCAUAAAAGGAUAUCAUUUUUAUAAAUUUUUUAAUUACUCAUAUUACUGAUCAUGGAACUUAGAAACCUUUUUGCUCUUUACAAAUAGAAAUUAACUGCAAAAGCUAAAGAUUUCUUGUUGCUGGGAGCCUGUAAAAGACUAUGCCUCAAGCUCUGACAGCCAUUCUCAAAGAGGAAUUCUAAAAGUUAACUUUGACCAAUGUCAGAGUCAUUACAAUGUUUUUGCAGCCUCCAAGAAGAUGACUUUUGAAGGAGAAAACACUCAUUUGAAUGUAAGUUACAGCAUAUUUACUAGAAAGUAAUUACACUAUUUUAUAGCACAUUAAAUAAGUCAGGUAUAGCUAGCAGGAGGAGUUGUGCUAUUCACCUACUAAAGACGGUGUACACUGGGGGAAAACACAAGCAUUCAAUCCAUAACAACCCUCUUACCUUGUACUGUCUCCCUUCCCAGUUCUUCAGACUCACUAAACUGGAGGAUGCCCAGGUUUCUGCU
rnacentral:lncRNA from 1 species